rnacentral:tRNA from 1 species
ACCUGGCUGGCUCAGCUGGUGGAGCAUGUGACUCUUGAUCUCAAGAUUGGGAGUCCGAGUCCCAUGUUAGGUG